UUGAACGCUGGCGGCAUGCUUUACACAUGCAAGUCGGACGGCAGCGGGGUAGUGCUUGCACUACUGCCGGCGAGUGGCGAACGGGUGAGUAAUAUAUUGGAACGUACCGAGUAAUGGGGGAUAACCAAUCGAAAGAUUGGCUAAUACCGCAUACGCUCUGAGGAGGAAAGCAGGGGACCUUCGGGCCUUGCGUUAUUCGAGCGGCCAAUAUCUGAUUAGCUAGUUGGUGGGGUAAGGGCCUACCAAGGCGACGAUCAGUAGCGGGUCUGAGAGGAUGAUCCGCCACACUGGGACUGAGACACGGCCCAGACUCCUACGGGAGGCAGCAGUGGGGAAUUUUGGACAAUGGGCGCAAGCCUGAUCCAGCCAUGCCGCGUGUCUGAAGAAGGCCUUCGGGUUGUAAAGGACUUUUGUUAGGGAAGAAAAAGGAGCGGUUAAUACCCGUUUCUGCUGACGGUACCUAAAGAAUAAGCACCGGCUAACUACGUG
rnacentral:rRNA from 1 species